rnacentral:ncRNA from 2 species
GGGUCCGGGGUUACAGGCAAAUCCCGGAGGUUAAAUAAUGGUCGGGCCGCCAUUU